rnacentral:rRNA from 1 species
GAUGAACGCUGGCGGCGUGCCUAAUACAUGCAAGUCGAGCGAACAGAUGAGGAGCUUGCUCCUCUGACGUUAGCGGCGGACGGGUGAGUAACACGUGGAUAACCUACCUAUAAGACUGGGAUAACUUCGGGAAACCGGAGCUAAUACCGGAUAAUAUAUUGAACCGCAUGGUUCAAUAGUGAAAGACGGUUUUGCUGUCACUUAUAGAUGGAUCCGCGCCGCAUUAGCUAGUUGGUAAGGUAACGGCUUACCAAGGCAACGAUGCGUAGCCGACCUGAGAGGGUGAUCGGCCACACUGGAACUGAGCCACGGUCCAGACUCCUACGGGAGGCAGCAGUAGGGAAUCUGCCGCAAUGGGCGAAAGCCUGACGGAGCAACGCCGCGUGAGUGAUGAAGGUCUUCGGAUCGUAAAACUCUGUUAUUAGGGAAGAACAAAUGUGUAAGUAACUAUGCACGUCUUGACGGUACCUAAUCAGAAAGCCACGGCUAACUACGUG